GUGUUCGCUUUGGCAGCACAUAAAGUAAAAUUGUAAUGAUACAGUGAAGAUUAGCAUGGCCUCUGAGCAAGAAUGGCAUGCAAAUGUGAAGCGUUCUUUAUUUUU